rnacentral:lncRNA from 1 species
ACAGGAAGCGCUUCGGCCAGGCCCGGGAGCGCGGUUCGCUCUUCCUCGCUUGCGGUCCGGCUGCCGGCGCGGACACUUCGGGUGUCUGCCCGUCUGCAGCCAACGGGGACUGCAGCCGCUCCCGGGAGGCGACGGGGCAGGGGCGUGCGGAGACCUGGUCUGGGGACCCCGAGCGUAACCUUCCCCGGGGCGAGCCUCCUAUCCCCACCUCUUCCCGGAAGCUGUGCAGGGAGACUGGCCACGCCUGCAGUCAUAGCAAAAAUGUCCCUGUGGGGACCUUUUAUUAGCAAGAAAUACUACCGCGCGCCACCCUUGCAGCCACGAACUCUUUUGUUCUGCGUGUUUAGGCAGAAACAUAACUCAGAGAAUGGGGUUCCCGCUCCGCAGCCUAAGCCGGAGGCGACGGUUUCCGCUGCUGCUUCCCUUGGCAGUGACCUGACACGCCCUGGUCGGCUGCCUUUUGCAAUCUGUUCUUGAAGGAAGUUCCAGCCCAUCGCAUCUUCCUAGAAACAAGUCCGACCACGAUCAGGGUUGUUGUGAAAUAGUAGCUAAAUUAGCCGGGUCUCGUGACUUUUGGACUCUCCCCUCCAAACGCCUUAUAGGUAUAGUUUGGCAAUCUUGCUCACACCUGGGUGUGAACCUGCGUGUACCCAGCCCGGGAGAUAUUGGAGUCUGUACAGGAUUAGUACCCCUUAUGGGUUAGAAAGGCCUUCUUUCCUUAGCUCUAAGGCCAGAUCUACUGGUGCUAAGAGACAGCGUGUUCCGAACAGAAAUUAAGUGAUAUAAACAUUCAGCGCAUGCACUCAAACACACAGAGCCAGUGAGAUAGGGGGUAAGCAUUAGAGAUAGAGAAAUGCAAUUUAGUCCUCAAAAAAUUCACUCUAAUGAGGAAAUAGACCAGCAAGUAGGUAAUUGCAGUUCUCUGAUUCAUGUAUUUUCUUGUUCUUGGGUUAAAGAAUGCGGUAGCCUCAUAGCUGGGUACAUUAAUUUCAUAUUUAAUCGUGUGGAUUUUUUAUGGAAUGAAGACAUCAUAGACUAUAUAAAGACAUCUAUGAAAAUAAGCCAGUUUGAUGGUGUUUUUUCCAUCUUGAAGAAUAGUAUGUAAAAAUAUGCAAAGCUUUAUGAGUAAAGAUUGUUAAUAUGCACCUGUAGCUUAUCUUGGUUUAGAUUAGGUUUAUAUAUUAAGAAACAUUCAUAAGGUGGAAUUUGCCAAGUAGAGUGUAGCAGUAAGCACUUGGGUUGUACUUGAUCCUAUGACUAAGACAUUAUCAUUUGCCCUUUUUUGUAUAUAAAGAUAAGGAAACAUAUAGAGGAAAUACCGUAUGGUCAAAUAAGUAUCACACUCAAGCUCACCCAGUUGUCAAGUAUGUCACUACACAAUUUUGUCAGACCAUGUUCGUUUAGAGAUUGCUUGGCCACAUUAAAACAGAAAACAUUGCUCUUAAAAAGAUGCUGUAGGUCGGGGGCACAGUGGCUCAGCCUGUAAUCCCAGCACUGUGGGAGGCCGAGGCAGGUGGAUCACUUGAGGUCAGGAGUUUGAGACCAGCCUGGCCAACAUGGUGAAACCCGUCUCUACUAAAUAUUCAAAAAUUAGUUGGGCAUGGUGGUGCAUGUUCUGUAAUCCCAACCACUUAGGAGGCUGAGGCAAGAGAAUCACUUGAACCUGGGAGGCAGAGGUUGCAGUGAGCCGAGAUUGUGCCACUGCACUUCGGCCUAGGUGACAAAGUGAGACUCCGUCUUUAAAAAAAAGAAAAAGAAAAAAAGAUGCCGUAGUAUUGCAAGGCUAAGUAGGGACAGCAGCUGAAGUUCCUCAAGACUUCCAACGUUACUGUAUAGCUAAACUCUUGAGAAAAAACAGUAAGCUACCAAUUGGACAUACGGAAUUCACAAGUAGUUCUUUUGACCCCACUAGGCCAAGCAUGAGUUGAGGAAGUUAAAAACACUAUCUGAGUUAUGCAGGUAAGUGCUAAAGAACAGACUUCUCUUGUGCAGUCUGAAAACAACUUUAGUCUAUUUUGCUGCCCUUAGACAAAUGAAAAGAGCCAGUACAGAUGGAUCAAAAUGGCCUAUGUGUAACUGAAAGCGAUCAAGGUUGUCGUUUUGAGGUUGGAGUGUUAGGUACCCUCCAAGACAUUUUCUUGCCAUAUUGAUGAUACUGUUUAAAACAUAAUAUCUACAAUAGGAACAGGUUUUAUAGCCAAAGAGAUUGUAAAUAUAGUACCAGGCCAGACACAGUGGGUCAUGCCUGUUAUCACAGCACUUUGGGAGGCCGAGGUGGCAGGAUUGCUUGAGGUCGGGAUGUCACGAACAGCCUAGGCGACAUAAGCAAGACCCUGUCUCUACAAAAAAUAAAAUUAGCCAGGCGUGGUGGUGUGUGACUGUAGCCCUAGCUACUCAGGAGCCUGAGGCGGGGAAAUUUGCUUGAGCCCAGAAGUUCGAGAGUUCGAGGCUGCAGUGAGUUGUGAUCAUGCCACUGCAUUCCAGUGUGGAUGAAAGAGUGGGACACUGUCUCCAAAUAAAUAAAUAAAUAAUCCU